rnacentral:rRNA from 1 species
AGUGAACGCUGGCGGCGUGCCUAAUACAUGCAAGUCGAACGAAGUGUCGCACGGGUGAGUAAUAUAUAGUUAAUCUGCCCUACACAGAGUAACAACAGUUUGAAACGACUGCUCAUACCUCAUAGUGUAGGAUGAGACUAUAUCGUAUCAGCUAGUUGUUAAGGUAAUGGCUUACCAAGGCUAUGACGCGUAACUGGUCUGAGAGGAUGAUCAGUCAAAUGGGAACUGAGACACGGUAGAAAGUACUACGGGAGGCAGCAGAAAGGGAGAUUGCGCGAUGGGGGAAACCCUGACGCAGCAACGCGGCAUGGAGGAUGAAAAUUUUCGGAGCGUAAAAACCUUGUAUAAGGAAAGCGGUACCUGAUGAAUAAGCACCGGCUAACUCCGUGCCAGCAGCCGCGGUAAUUC